rnacentral:misc_RNA from 1 species
GCUAAAACAACAUAUGCUAAGAAAAAUCUUAACACAUGAACAUAUGCAAGCAAUGAACCAGACUAGUAACUAUUGUGGUUGUUAUCUCCAAGGUAUAUAUAUUAAUAAAUACCCCAUAAGUUGUUGAUAUUUUUGAUAAAAAUUAUAUUAAUAAAUACCCUAUAAGAUAAACCCUCAGCGGUCGCUGAUUUAAAAUAAUGUAUUCAAGAGGAAGUCAAACCAGAAUAAAAUGGCACCCCGGUAGCAGGUAUCCACUCACUCCCUUGAAUAAAAUUUCCAACAGUGAAUUGACUGGCCUCACUAGAGCUAUUAAUGACCCGAUAACCGGGCCAUUUUACUCUAGCACUAGUAUUUGAACCGGGUCCCCGGUUCAAAUACUCUCCAUAAUAAAGUGUGUUCAAUGCAAAAUCACCACUCCAUUCUAACCAACCAGCAGGAUCAAUUAAGCUUCCAAUAUUGGAUAUGAGAAUUACAGUUCUUGAAUAUUGUUUCCAUGGUCGUCCUAAGUAAUUUUUGAAUGACGAUACAACAGGAACUAAAUCCGAUGCAGCUUCCACUUUACAAUUCAAGAUUGAAAUUCCAGUGUUUUGAUUUGGAUCUUCUCUUCCUUGUGCCGUGAACAUGUUCUUCUGAUUCGGGUUAGGUUUACGAGCAUACAAGUUACAAUUCUGGAGAACAACAGCUGCAUUACCA